GAGUGCUUGCACUCUUUGGACGUCGACCGGCGCACGGGUGAGUAACGCGUAUCCAACCUUCCCAUUACUGUGGGAUAACCUGCCGAAAGGCAGACUAAUACCGCAUAGUCUUCGAUGACGGCAUCAGAUUUGAAGUAAAGAUUUAUCGGUAAUGGAUGGGGAUGCGUCUGAUUAGCUUGUUGGCGGGGUAACGGCCCACCAAGGCAACGAUCAGUAGGGGUUCUGAGAGGAAGGUCCCCCACAUUGGAACUGAGACACGGUCCAAACUCCUACGGGAGGCAGCAGUGAGGAAUAUUGGUCAAUGGACGGAAGUCUGAACCAGCCAAGUAGCGUGCAGGAUGACGGCCCUAUGGGUUGUAAACUGCUUUUGUAUGGGGAUAAAGUUAGGGACGUGUCCCUAUUUGCAGGUACCAUACGAAUAAGGACCGGCUAAUUCCGUGCCAGCAGCCGCGGUAAUACGGAAGGUCCAGGCGUUAUCCGGAUUUAUUGGGUUUAAAGGGAGCGUAGGCUGGAGAUUAAGUGUGUUGUGAAAUGUAGACGCUCAACGUCUGAAUUGCAGCGCAUACUGGUUUCCUUGAGUACGCACAACGUUGGCGGAAUUCGUCGUGUAGCGGUGAAAUGCUUAGAUAUGACGAAGAACUCCGAUUGCGAAGGCAGCUGACGGGAGCGCAACUGACGCUUAAGCUCGAAGGUGCGGGUAUCAAACAGGAUUAGAUACCCUGGUAGUCCGCACAGUAAACGAUGGAUGCCCGCUGUUGGUACCUGG
rnacentral:rRNA from 1 species